rnacentral:rRNA from 1 species
UACGUAGGUGGCGAGCGUUGUCCGGAUUUACUGGGCGUAAAGGAUGCGUAGGCGGAUUUUUAAGUGAGAUGUGAAAUACCCGGGCUUAACUUGGGUGCUGCAUUUCAAACUGGAAGUCUAGAGUGCGGGAGAGGAGAGUGGAAUUCCAUGUGUAGCGGUGAAAUGCGUAGAUAUAUGGAGGAACACCAGUGGCGAAGGCGGCUCUCUGGACUGUAACUGACACUGAGGCUCGAAAGCCAGGGGAGCGAAC